rnacentral:rRNA from 1 species
AGAGUUUGAUCCUAGCUCAGAAUUAAUGCUGGCGGCAUGCCUAAUACAUGCAAGUCGAACGGAAAUUUUGAAUUCGCAAGAGUUUAAAGUUUUAGUGGCGAACGGGUGAGUAACACGUAUUUAACCUGCCUAAUAGUUUGGGAUACCCAUUGGAAACGAUGAUUAAUACCAAAUAAUCUUUUGAAUUUGAAAUAGUUUAAUAGCAAAGGGGCUUUCAAGCCUCGCUAAUUGAUGGGAAUGCGCUGCAUUAGCUAGUUGGUAAGGUAACGGCUUACCAAGGCGACGAUGCAUAACCGGACUGAGAGGUUGAACGGUCACACUGGGAUUGAGAUACGGCCCAGACUCCUGCGGGAGGCAGCAGUAAGGAAUUUUUCACAAUGGGCGAAAGCCUGAUGAAGCAAUGCCGCGUAAUCGAUGAAGGUCUUCGGAUCGUAAAGAUUUGUGGUUCAGAAAGAAAAUUUUUGUUCAGGAAAUGGAACGAAAAAUUGACGAUACUGAUCUAGAAAGUCACGACUAACUACGUGCCAGCAGUCGCGGUAAUACGUAGGUGGCAAGCAUUAUUCGGAAUUAUUGGGCGUAAAGUAUGCGUAGACGGAAAUCAAAGUCUUUGGUUUAAUCAAAAAGCUCAACUUUUUGCUGCCAAAGAUACUUUUUUUCUUGAGAUUUGUGUGACGUGAGUGGAAUUUCAUGUGGAGUGGUGAAAUACGUGGAUAUAUGAAAGAACAUCGAACAGCGAAAGCAACUCACGAACCAAUUUCUGACGUUGAGGCAUGAGAGCAUGGGGAGCCAAUCGGAUUAGAUACCCGAGUAGUCCAUAGCUGUAAACGAUGAGUGCUAGUUCUGAAUUUUAAAUUCGGGGCGAAGCUAACGCGUUAAGCACUCCGCCUGGGGAGUAUGCACGCAAGUGUAAAACUCAAAGGAAUUGACGGGAACCCGCACAAGCGGUGGAACAUGUGGUUUAAUUCGAAGCAACGCGAAGAACCUUACCAAGGCUUGAAAUUACUCGCAACGCGGCAGAAACGUCGUUGAGGUUAACGAGUAACAGAUGGUGCAUGGCUGUCGUCAGUUCGUGUCGUGAGAUGUAAGGUUAAGUCCUCUAACGAACGCAACCCUUGUCGCUAGUUGCUAACAUUAAGUUGAGAACUUUAGCGAGACCGCUGAUGCAAAUCAGAGGAAGGAAAGGAUGACGUCAAGUCAGUAUGCCUCUUACGCCUUGGGCUACACACGUGUUACAAUGGCCAGUACAACAAGUUGCCAUGCGGUGACGCAGAGCUAAUCUUUUAAAACUGGUCUCAGUCCGGAUUGAAGUCUGCAAUUCGACUUCAUGAAGUUGGAAUCGCUAGUAAUCGCAAAUCAGCAACGUUGCGGUGAAUACGUUCUCGGGUUUUGUACACACCGCCCGUCAAACCACGAAAAUUGAGAGUGCUGGAAGUUGGUUGCGAACCUAUUAAACCAGGUAAGUGCUAACGAAGGCAAAAUCAGUGAUUGGGGUUAAGUCGUAACAAGGUAUCCCUACGAGAACGUGGGGAUG